UACGUAGGGCGCAAGCGUUGUCCGGAAUUAUUGGGCGUAAAGAGCUCGUAGGUGGCUUGUCACGUCGGGUGUGAAAGCUGGGGGCUUAACUCCAGGUCUGCAUUCGAUACGGGCUGGCUAGAGGUAGGUAGGGGAGAACGGAAUUCCUGGCGUAGCGGUGAAAUGCGCAGAUAUCAGGAGGAACACCGGUGGCGAAGGCGGUUCUCUGGGCCUUUCCUGACGCUGAGGAGCGAAAGCGUGGGGAGCGAACGGG
rnacentral:rRNA from 1 species